rnacentral:rRNA from 1 species
UGGGGAAUUUUCCGCAAUGGGCGAAAGCCUGACGGAGCAAGACCGCGUGGGGGAAGAAGGCUCUUGGGUUGUAAACCCCUUUUCUCUGGGAAGAACAAAAUGACGGUACCAGAGGAAUCAGCAUCGGCUAACUCCGUGCCAGCAGCCGCGGUAAGACGGAGGAUGCAAGCGUUAUCCGGAAUGAUUGGGCGUAAAGCGUCCGUAGGUGGCAGUUCAAGUCUGCUGUCAAAGACCGGGGCUCAACCUCGGAAAGGCAGUGGAAACUGAACAGCUAGAGUAUGGUAGGGGCAAAGGGAAUUCCUGGUGUAGCGGUGAAAUGCGUAGAGAUCAGGAAGAACAUCGGUGGCGAAGGCGCUUUGCUGGACCAUAACUGACACUGAGGGACGAAAGCUAGGGGAGCGAAUGGGAUUAGAUACCCCAGUAGUCCUAGCCGUAAACGAUGGAUACUAGGUGUUGUCUGUAUCGACCCGGACAGUGCCG